GAUGAACGCUGGCGGCGUGCCUAAUACAUGCAAGUCGAGCGAACGGACGAGAAGCUUGCUUCUCUGAUGUUAGCGGCGGACGGGUGAGUAACACGUGGAUAACCUACCUAUAAGACUGGGAUAACUUCGGGAAACCGGAGCUAAUACCGGAUAAUAUUUUGAACCGCAUGGUUCAAAAGUGAAAGACGGUCUUGCUGUCACUUAUAGAUGGAUCCGCGCUGCAUUAGCUAGUUGGUAAGGUAACGGCUUACCAAGGCAACGAUGCAUAGCCGACCUGAGAGGGUGAUCGGCCACACUGGAACUGAGACACGGUCCAGACUCCUACGGGAGGCAGCAGUAGGGAAUCUUCCGCAAUGGGCGAAAGCCUGACGGAGCAACGCCGCGUGAGUGAUGAAGGUCUUCGGAUCGUAAAACUCUGUUAUUAGGGAAGAACAUAUGUGUAAGUAACUGUGCACAUCUUGACGGUACCUAAUCAGAAAGCCACGGCUAACUACGUGCCAGCAGCCGCGGUAAUACGUAGGUGGCAAGCGUUAUCCGGAAUUAUUGGGCGUAAAGCGCGCGUAGGCGGUUUUUUAAGUCUGAUGUGAAAGCCCACGGCUCAACCGUGGAGGGUCAUUGGAAACUGGAAAACUUGAGUGCAGAAGAGGAAAGUGGAAUUCCAUGUGUAGCGGUGAAAUGCGCAGAGAUAUGGAGGAACACCAGUGGCGAAGGCGACUUUCUGGUCUGUAACUGACGCUGAUGUGCGAAAGCGUGGGGAUCAAACAGGAUUAGAUACCCUGGUAGUCCACGCCGUAAACGAUGAGUGCUAAGUGUUAGGGGGUUUCCGCCCCUUAGUGCUGCAGCUAACGCAUUAAGCACUCCGCCUGGGGAGUACGACCGCAAGGUUGAAACUCAAAGGAAUUGACGGGGACCCGCACAAGCGGUGGAGCAUGUGGUUUAAUUCGAAGCAACGCGAAGAACCUUACCAAAUCUUGACAUCCUUUGACAACUCUAGAGAUAGAGCCUUCCCCUUCGGGGGACAAAGUGACAGGUGGUGCAUGGUUGUCGUCAGCUCGUGUCGUGAGAUGUGGGGUUAAGUCCCGCAACGAGCGCAACCCUUAAGCUUAGUUGCCAUCAUUAAGUUGGGCACUCUAAGUUGACUGCCGGUGACAAACCGGAGGAAGGUGGGGAUGACGUCAAAUCAUCAUGCCCCUUAUGAUUUGGGCUACACACGUGCUACAAUGGACAAUACAAAGGGCAGCGAAACCGCGAGGUCAAGCAAAUCCCAUAAAGUUGUUCUCAGUUCGGAUUGUAGUCUGCAACUCGACUACAUGAAGCUGGAAUCGCUAGUAAUCGUAGAUCAGCAUGCUACGGUGAAUACGUUCCCGGGUCU
rnacentral:rRNA from 1 species